AGUCCAAUACUGUUACUAUUGUCCUGUAGAGGUUAGUCUAACACUGUUACUAUUGUCCUACAGUCCUGUAGAGGUUAGUCCAAUACUGUUACUAUUGUCCUGUAGAGGUUAGUCCAAUACUGUUACUAUUGUCCUGUAGAGGUUAGUCCAAUACUGUUACUAUUAUCCUACAGUCCUGUAGAGGUUAGUCUAACAC